rnacentral:lncRNA from 1 species
UGAUUUUCUAGAAAUAUUAAAAUUACAUAAAAUAAGCCAUAUUUCUUUCUUUAUAAAGAUGGGAGCAUGCUUUUCAAAAGUAUUUGAUGGCUGCCCUUUGAAAAUUAAUUGUGCAACAUCCUGGAUACACCCUGAUACAAAAGACCAGUACAUUAUUUUUGGGACUGAAGAUGGUAUUUACACAUUGAAUCUCAAUGAGCUACAUGAAGCAACUAUGGAACAGGUAAUAAGAAUUUUAACAUAAAGAAUUAGUUUGAGCAAACUGGACAAAAGUAUCAUAGUUCAAAAUGUUUGUAUGGGCUCUAGUCUUAAUUUUUAUGGCUUAAAUAUUUAAAGGGGUGACAUGGUACUGUCCUCCUGAUUGUGUUGAUUGUGU